UACGUAGGGUGCAAGCGUUAAUCGGAAUUACUGGGCGUAAAGCGUGCGCAGGCGGUUUUGUAAGUCUGACGUGAAAUCCCCGGGCUCAACCUGGGAACUGCAUUUGUGACUGCAUGACUAGAGUACGGCAGAGGGGGAUGGAAUUCCGCGUGUAGCAGUGAAAUGCGUAGAUAUGCGGAGGAACACCGAUGGCGAAGGCAAUCCCCUGGGCCUGUACUGACGCUCAUGCACGAAAGCGUGGGAGCAAACAGG
rnacentral:rRNA from 1 species